GAUUAACGUUGGCGGCGUGCAUAACACAUGCAAGUUGAGCGUGGCUUUGGAUUUAUCUAAAGUCUAGCAGCGGACGGCUGAGUAAUGCACAGGAACGUACCUCGAAGUGGGGGAUAGCCCAUCGAAAGAUGGGGUAAUACCGCAUGUGGUAGUAAUACCAAAGCAGCAAUGCGCUUUGAGAGCGGCCUGUGUCCUAUCAG
rnacentral:rRNA from 1 species